CAGUCGCCGCGGUAAUACGAAGGGGGCUAGCGUUGUUCGGAUUUACUGGGCGUAAAGCGCACGUAGGCGGACUUUUAAGUCAGGGGUGAAAUCCCGGGGCUCAACCCCGGAACUGCCUUUGAUACUGGAAGUCUUGAGUAUGGUAGAGGUGAGUGGAAUUCCGAGUGUAGAGGUGAAAUUCGUAGAUAUUCGGAGGAACACCAGUGGCGAAGGCGGCUCACUGGACCAUUACUGACGCUGAGGUGCGAAAGCGUGGGGAGCAAACAGGAUUAGAUACCCCUGUAGUCCCUGUCUCUUAUAC
rnacentral:rRNA from 1 species